AGGGAUUGCCCUAGUAACGGCGAGUGAAGCGGCAACAGCUCAAAUUUGAAAUCUGGCGUCUUCGGCGUCCGAGUUGUAAUUUGCAGAGGGCGCUUUGGCAUUGGCAGCGGUCCAAUUCCUUGGAACAGGACGUCACAGAGGGUGAGAAUCCCGUACGUGGUCGCUAGCCUUUACCGUGUAAAGCCCCUUCGACGAGUCGAGUUGUUUGGGAAUGCAGCUCUAAAUGGGAGGUAAAUUUCUUCUAAAGCUAAAUACUGGCCAGAGACCGAUAGCGCACAAGUAGAGUGAUCGAAAGAUGAAAAGCACUUUGGAAAG
rnacentral:rRNA from 1 species